rnacentral:rRNA from 1 species
CCGUGCGAAGGUAGCGCAAUCACUUGUCUUUUAAAUAGGGACCUGUAUGAAUGGCAUAACGAGGGCUCAACUGUCUCCUUUUUCAAGUCAAUGAAAUUGAUCUCCCCGUGCAGAAGCGGGGAUAAACACAUAAGAAACGAGAGACCCUAUGGAGCUUCAGACACUAAAGCAGACCAGUAUUAUUACCCUGAACAUAGGACUCGAACAAACUGUCCCCUGCCCUAUUGUCUUUGGUUGGGGCGACCGCGGAGAAACAUAAAACCUCCGCAAGGACUGAAUGUACUACAUUUACAACCAAGAGCAACAGCUCUUAUUAACAGAAUUUCUGACCAAUUAGAUCCGGCAACGCCGAUCAAUGAACCGAGUUACCCUAAGGAUAACAGCGCAAUCUCCUCUUUAAGUCCAUAUCGACAAGAGAAGUUUACAGAACUCAUGUUGAUCAGACAUCCUAAUGGUGCGCCGCUAUUUUCAGGUUCGGUGUGUCCAAGA